CCUACGUGUGGCAGCAGUGGGGAAUAUUGCGCAAUGGGCGAAAGCCUGACGCAGCGACGCCGCGUGAGGGAUGAAGGUCUUCGGAUCGUAAACCUCUGUCAGCAGGGAAGAACGGUCACUGUGCUAAUCAGCAGUGAAUUGACGGUACCUGCAAAGGAAGCACCGGCUAACUCCGUGCCAGCAGCCGCGGUAAUACGGAGGGGGCGAGCGUUAAUCGGAAUUACUGGGCGUAAAGCGCUCGUAGGCGGUAUGUCAAGUUUGGAGUGAAAUGCCGCAGAUUAACUGCGGAACUGCUUUGGAAACUGGCGAACUAGAGUGCGGGAGGGGUAAGCGGAAUUCCUAGUGUAGCGGUGAAAUGCGUAGAUAUUAGGAGGAACACCGGUGGCGAAGGCGGCUUACUGGACCGUAACUGACGUUGAGGCUCGAAAGCGUGGGGAGCAAACAGGAUUAGAUACCCGAGUAGUC
rnacentral:rRNA from 1 species